UUACGGCUAUAUCACCUGGAAACACCAGUUUACGUACGAUCACCGAAAUUAAGCAAUGUCGAGUCAGGCCAGUACCUAGAUGGGUGACUGUUUGGGAAUACCAGGUGCUGUAAG